UACAGAAGGCCCGAGCGUUAAUCGGAAUCACUGGGCUUAAAGGGUGCGCCGGCGGAUCGAAAGGCAUCUUGUGAAAUCCCACGGCUCAACCGUGGAACUGCUGGGUGAACCAUCGAUCUUGAGGCGGGUAGGGUUCAGUGGGACUAUGGGUGGAGCGGCGAAAUGCGUAGAUAUUCAUGGGAACGCCAAUGGCGAAGGCAGCUGACAGGGCCCGUCCUGCUGCUCAGGCACGAAAGCGUGGGUAGCAAACAGG
rnacentral:rRNA from 1 species